CAACGUCUUUGGUGCUUGCAAUGCAAUGCAAUCCAUUUGCAAUAUAUAAUACAACCUUUUUGCUCUUUGCAAUUCAAUGCAAUCCACUUUCAAUCUGCAAUACAACGUCUUUGGUGCUUGCAAUGCAAUGCAAUCCAUUUGCAAUAUAUAAUACAACCUUUUUGCUCUUUGCAAUUCAAUGCAAUCCACUUUCAAUCUGCAAUACAACGUCUUUGGUGCUUGCAAUGCAAUGCAAUCCAUUUGCUAUCUGCAAUUCAGUUCAUUGUUUGCAGUGCAAUGCAAUCUGCAGUCUGCAAUGUAACACAUCUGGUGCUUGGAAUGCAAUGCAAUCUGUUUGCAAUCUGCAAUGCAUCACGUUUGGUGCUUGCAAUGCAAUGCAAUCUGUUUGCAAUCUGUGACACAACGUAUUUGCUUCUGGCAAUGCAAUGCAACUCACUUAUUGUUUGCAAUGCAAUGCAACUCAUUUAUAGCUUGCAAUGCAAUGCAAUCUGUUUGCAAUCUGCAAUGCAACAUAUGUGCUUCUUGCAAUGCAAUGCAACUCACUUAUUGCUUGCAAUGUAAUGCAACCCAUUUGCAACCUGCAAUGCAAAGUAUUCACUCCUUGCAAUGCAACACAAUCUGUUUGCAAUCUGCAACACAACUCGUUUACUUCUGGCAAUGCAAUGCAACUCGUUUAUAGCUUGCAAUGCAAUGAAACCCAUUUGCAAACUACAAUGCAACACAUUUACUCCUUGCAAUGCAAUGCAACCUGUUUGCUCUUUGCAAUGCAAUGCAACUCAUUUGUUUGCAACGCAACUGGCUUAUCACUUGCAAUGCAAUGCAACCCAUUUGCAAUCUGCAACACAUUUACUCCUUGUAGUGCAAUGAAACUCAUUUGUUAUUUGCAAUGCAAUACAACUCACUUAUUGUUUGCAAUGCAAUGCAAUUCAUUUGUUGUUUGCAAUGCAAUGCGAUCUGUUUGUAAUCUGCAAUGCAACUCAUUUAUUGUUUGCAAUGCAAUGCAAUGCAACCCACUUGCAAACUGCAAUGCAACACAUUUGCUCCUUGUUGUGCAAUGAAACUCAUUUGUUAUUUGCAAUGCAAUACAACUCACUUAUUGCUUGCAACACAAUCUGUUUGCAGUCUGCAAUGCAACAUAUUUGCUUCUGGCAAUGCAAUGCAACUCACUUAUUGUUUGCAAUGCAAUGCAAUGCAAUGCAACCCAUUUGCAAACUGCAAUGCAACACAUUACCCUAUGCAAUCAACUGCAAACCUGUUGGCCUCUUUGCAAUGCAAUGCAACUUGUCUGUUCUCUGCAAUGUAAUGCAACUUGUCUGUUCUCUGCUAUGCAAUGUAACCCAUUUGCAAUCUGCAAUGCAACUCACUUAUAGCUUGCAAACUGCAACACAAUCUGUUUGCAAUCUGCAAUGCAACUCACUUGCUGUUUGCAAUGCAACGCAACCUGUCUGCUGUUUGCAAUACAACACAACCCAUUUGCAAUCUGCAAUGCAAACUCAUUUAUUGUUUGCAUUGGAAUGCAACUCACUUAUUGCUUGCAAACUGCAAUGCAACACACUUGCAAUCUGCAAUGCAACUCACUUGCUCUUUGCAAUGCAAUGCAACCCACUUUUUGCACACACCCUUCCCUUUGCACACCCUGAGCGUGCAACGCACACUGCAAGACCCCCACCUUGCACACUCAAGCUGUGCACUAAUGCACAUCUAUGCACACGCAGCAACCCCUGUGCAACGCAACAACCCCUUUGCACACCCAUGUGCAAAUAUCUCCUGCACUGA
ensembl:lncRNA